rnacentral:lncRNA from 1 species
GCUCAAAACACUAACUGGUGGUCGGGUGGAGCAUUUUAACCACAAAUGAACCUAAUAACUAACACAAAGAGUGAUGUUUAAUGGCCAUAAAUAUGAACAAAUCUUGCAUUAUGCUUUAAAAUUCACCUUCCUGCUGCCUUUUAGCAACAAUGGACCCCUAAUGUAAAUGACACUGAAGAGCUGCACACGUUCAUCAGCUCAUCUUAUCUAGAAAUCAUUUGGUUAAUGUACAGGAAAUGGUUAAAUCUUUGAAAACAGAACUUCAGCACGUUUGCACAAAACAAACAAAUGCUAGAGACAGACAUGAAAAGCUUCAAGAAUGUCUGAACAUGCAAGACACCGCUCAGCCUUCUGCUUUAUCUUCACCAUAGAUUGUUUGUUGGCGAUGCAUGUAAAGGCACAAGACUCUUCCAGCGAUGAACCGGGUAAAACACAUAUAGUCCAAACCAUACAAAACCCAUUCAGAUCUGAACGCUGUCAUAAUAAUAUCAUGUUUCUUUCUCGAGCCUCAGAAAUCAAAUAUGCCGUCAUAGGAGCAGGAAUUGGCCUUUUCUUUUCCAUCUGCUUUCUGCUAAUCAAAAUUUACAUCAUCAAAAAGCAGGUGCAUGAUAGUGAACUAUCAGGUAAGUAUUCUCAUCUGAUUUAAAAAAAAAAUGAACAACCUUAGAUUUAAUCAAAUCAAACAAAAUCUUUAUUAAUUUUAACACUUGGAUAUUUUUCACUAAGACACAUCACUAAGAAGAGCAUCUGCACGGUAAGAACAUUUUGUAUGCAAAUUACAAUUUCCCAUAUCACUAUAAUCGUUAUAUUAUAGUCUAUAUAGUUACAAAAGUUUGAUUUGCAUGUGAAUCUCAUAAAAUGAUGACCUGUGUUUUUAAGGAUCAUUGACGUGGAGAGCAGGAGGGAAUGAAAUAUCUUCUGAGGAUGAAUUAAUACAGUCCUUUGUCAUUCUAUGACAAUUUAAUACAGUUGUAUGUAUUAAAUUGUAACCAGUUUAGGCCUAUAAAACAAAUAAUUGUAAAAUCAGCAAUUUGCUGUGCCUUCAUGAGGUCAUUUUGUGCUUUUUUGGAGCCACACCUGCUUUAAUGUAAAAUAUAUAUACUGUACUCAGAGCUAUACAUUUAUUAAUUUUAACAUAGAAAUAUACAGUUUUUAUCAAGAGCAUAAAAGAUUUAAACCAGCUUGUCUUUUCAUUUAAAACCCAUUUGUUGUCUUUAAUCAUGCAUGUUUUCCUUCAUUCAUCAUCUGUUGUGUGGGACAAUUAAAUCUACAUUUCUAUGUCAUUAAAUAUGACUGUAUAUUUCUUAAAUCGACAAAACAGACUAUAAAAUUUAAGUCCACAUAGUCAUUGGUCUUAUUAAAAUGCAUCUUUCUCAUGCUUUAUCUACAGUAUCAGAAACACACAUAAAUGUAAUUUUUCACCAUAAAUGUGAGCUAUCUGCCUUAACUUUACUCUGAAUUUAUAAUAUGAU